ensembl:lncRNA
CUUUAAUUAGUGAUGAAGUAACCCAUGUUUCGUGAAGGGCGUUGUGUACAAAUAAUUGGUAUUAUAAAUACAUAAAAACAAAGGCUUUUUAAGAGUUCUAUUGAUAAAGCUUUGAUAUAAUCUGUGUAAGAAGCAAAGCAGCUUUCCCGUUUCAUGGGUCUGCUCAAGGUCAAACGAGAUGGAUGCUAACCCGGAUAAGAUCAGUCAGAGCGGGUGAGGGGGAGGGAGACAGCGGUAGGAAGAUAUUCUAGUAUGUUUGAUAGCUUAUUCUCCAAUAACCAUGAAAACAACAUAGAGACCUGCUGUCUUAUCUGUGCUAGACUUCACAAAGAAUGAAGUCAUAAGAAAUGGCUAUUUUAUCUCCUCAUUCAUUUUCUAAUAAAUUGGUAGGCCAGUAAAUUUAAAGUUGUACUAUAUGUGAGUAUGAACCAUUUGUCUGAACACAUCAAAACACAGAAAAAGAUUAGCAGCCUGUAAUUGUAUAGUGUGACAGUGAUGGUAAUGCUCCACCUAAUUACUAUUCAUACAGCAGAUGAUGUGUGCGGAUGAAGGUGUUAGGCGGAGCAAAUGCCUUGCUAUGUAACUGAAAAAUAUGAAAACUUCACGACGAUAUUAAUCUGACCUGCCAUAAUGACGAUUACUUAAAAAGCCGGAGAUGGCAUCAAGUUCCACAGGAAAAGGUCACCAUAUUUAUUGCUUCCUUUGAGGGAAAUGUCACUGUCAAAAUUACUCAGGUAUCAUGAUUUAAUUCAUUCAUUUGUAACUCUGUUAUUUGCACUAAAUUAGUUAUUUUGAUUUGAAUGUCACAUUAGCAAAAUUAAACUGCAGUGAGGGUAAACAUACACUUCCGAUAUAAAUAUAUCACUCUGUCAACUUGCUUAAGUUGAAAUGCUAGUUAAGUCACAGCUAGUUAACAGGGAGAAAACGGGGAAAUACUGUCAUGACACUGCUGAUAAAAGAGAUACCGUUUACUGUCACCAGAUAAGAUCUCUUUUUCAUAAGAUUUGAUCGAGUUUUUUUCCCUUUAAUCCAGUUUAAAGUAUUUCUCUUUCACACCAGGUGAAUGAAAUGAACUACUCCUGAUGUCCUUUGCUUGUAAACGUUUUAUUAAUCUCAAGCAGAACACAAUGUGACAUAAUUCCAUUGUCCAGAGCAAUAUUCCCAUUUAGUGGUAAAAAUGGUAAAAAAAGCAAAGAUAAACUGAUGCUUGAGAAUACGAGAGAGGCGCAUUUCAUCUUCCAUUCCAUCUAAUCUUUAUUAAUGAAAAAUGUCACACGGUAAACCGGGUGUUUCUCGAUUGUUUAUAGGAGUUAACAGCCAGUAAAACAUUCAGGGGAAACAGGAAAAGCAGCAAUUGUGUCACACGGCCCGUAGAUGUCAGCCUUCUCCCAAAUAUGCUUUCACAGAUUUACACAGCUAGAGGUCAACGAGGGGUGCGGACUGGUCCAGAGACACAGUAGUGGGCAAGUCUGACUGAUGGUUAUGCCACGUGGGUAAAUAGAUGACCUGCAUGUUAAAAUGAAGGUCACUAUUAAUAUUCACAGUUUAGUUUGCACUGUUGCCUGAUCUGACCAAAUCUACAAGCAACCCAAUUCAUGUGAAUAUCACAUUAUCACAUUUUUUAAAGGCCUGAUGACAUCACCAGACACCUGCUUACUUUGUUAUUUCUUCACAUUGGAGGAAAUGACUUUAUUCAGAAGAAUACGCUCAGUAAUUGUGUAUCUCUGGCUAUUUCUGUGUCUAGACGUUUGUCCUGUGGAGCUCCCUGACUCACUGCAAGAUGAAAAACUGUCCGCAAUGGAGUCUUGCAGGAGGUUGUGUCUGUCUUCUGAUUGGUUGACAGACACUAUUACAGUAAAUUGCAGUCGAGUAUAAUUAAGGAAUAAAUCUCUUUGCAACAUCA